rnacentral:rRNA from 1 species
AUGGCAGAUCCAAGCAAGGAGAAGUCAGGGGAUAGUAGUGUGGAUAAGUUAUAUGAAAUUUUUAGCAAAGUAUUUGAGCAGCAACAACAACUCAAAUUGGUUCCUGAAGCAGUCAAGUAUGCGCUUGAGCCUAAUCCGGUAAAGUUGGCUGGACCGGGCAAUUACAUUAGUUGGGCACGACAUGCUCAGUUAAUCCUGAGUUCUCAUGGUUACGAAGAAUUACUUAGUGCUGAUGAAAGUGGCACUAGCACAAAACAGAUCAAUGACAGAGUGUUGGUCUGGUUAUUAGGAAGCAUGGAACCAUCAAUUCGAGAGCAAGUUGAGACUAUGACCACUGUAUCUGAAGUGUGGAGAGCUUUGGAGAAGCAAUUCUCAGGAAAAUCAAAUAAGAUGCAGGCUACUCGCAUCAUGCAGGAGUUGACUCACUUAAAGCAAGGCUCAAAAUCAGUGACUGAGUAUGCUGGUGAGAUAAAGAGAUUGUACAGGGAGUUGCAUUAUUACCAUCCAUUUCAACCUGUUGACAAGAAUGACAUGGCUAUUCACCAUACCUGGUUUGAACCAUUUGUGGGCAAGCUCUUCCUUGAUGGCCUGAAUCAGGAAUUUGACCUCCGUCGUCAGCUAAUAUUCUCCAAAACUGAAUGGCUAAGCCUUGACGAUAUCAUCUCUAGUGUGAUUGAGGAGGAGACUCGUCUUAUUCAACCCAAGGAGCGUGGUCAGGAAAAUUCAGAUGCACGUGCAGCCCUAUCCAUACAAGCUCGUCAUGCUCCAAGGCCGUUUGGUAAAAUAGAUAAAAGCAAACUAUUUUGCAACCAUUGCAAAAGGACAGGACACGCAAAGGAUAUGUGUUUUGAGCUGCAUGGCUAUCCAUCUUGGUGGGAAAAAGGGAAGUCUCGGCCAGGGGGAGUUCAGGGAGCAAGUAAAAGACAUGCUAAUCUCACUACAUCCACCAGUGAGCUGCCAGUGGUAGAUGUGCGAGCUCUUGAGGAUUUCACUUCCAAGCUUAGACUCUCAGAAGGCUCCUCUUCCUCUCAAGGUUCAUCUAAAGUUGAGUCUAGCCUUCAUGUCACUUCUGACCAAGGAGAUAGACACAGGGAGAUUGUUGGCGACUGGGACCGUGCAUGA